rnacentral:rRNA from 1 species
UAUCGGAAGGUGCGGCUGGAUCACCUCCUUU